CACCUACGGGUGGCUGCAGUAAGGAAUAUUGGUCAAUGGACGAAAGUCUGAACCAGCCAUGCCGCGUGAAGGAUGAAGGCCCUCUGGGUUGUAAACUUCUUUUAUCUGGGACGAAAAAAGGGCUUUCUAGCUCACUUGACGGUACCAGAGGAAUAAGCACCGGCUAACUCCGUGCCAGCAGCCGCGGUAAUACGGAGGGUGCAAGCGUUAUCCGGAUUCACUGGGUUUAAAGGGUGCGUAGGUGGGUUUGUAAGUCAGUGGUGAAAUCUCCGAGCUUAACUCGGAAACUGCCAUUGAUACUAUAGAUCUUGAAUCAUCUGGAGGUAAGCGGAAUAUGUCAUGUAGCGGUGAAAUGCUUAGAUAUGACAUAGAACACCAAUUGCGAAGGCAGCUUACUACGGGUGCAUUGACACUGAGGCACGAAAGCGUGGGGAUCAAACAGGAUUAGAUACCCUGGUAGUCCACGCCCUAAACGAUGGAUACUCGACAUCAGCGAUACACUGUUGGUGUCUGAGCGAAAGCAUUA
rnacentral:rRNA from 1 species